AUUCCAGCUCCAAUAGUGUAUACUAAAGUUGCUGCAGUUAAAAAGCUCGUAGUUGGAUUUCGGUUAAUAAGAUAUUAGUCUACAUAUUAAUGUACGAACUGGUCUCUUAUUUCCUUCUUUUCGAAUACAAAUUUUUUUUUGUUUCGAAUCUUUUACUUUGAGAAAAUUAGAGUGUUCAAAGCAGGCGUAACCAAGCCUUUGAAUAUAUUGGCAUGGGGUAAUGGAAUAAGACUUCUUGCCUUAUUUUCGUUGGUUCUUUAGGGCUAAAGUAAUGAUUAAUAGGGAUAGUUGGGGUCAUUAGUAUUUAAUUGUCAGAGGUGAAAUUCUAAGAUUUAUUAAAGACUAACUACUGCGAAAGCAUUUGACAAGGAUGUUUUCAUUG
rnacentral:rRNA from 1 species